UUUAUUAGUGAAUAACAAAAUGUGUUUUUUUUUGUUUGACUGUGACGCCUUCGAAAAGUAUUUUAUCCAGUGAAAUUUCAAAAAUAUUCAAAUGACAAGAAGCUGUUGUCACAUCGCUAUUUUUUUUUAUAGUUAUUCCUCGUGAAAACAAAGGAAAGCAGUUAUAAUGUUUUUAUUAAAUUUAAUAAGAUCUUCAGCGAAUCAUACUAGGGAAUUGAAAUCCAUUCAUUGUGGUCAUUACAAAAAGGAGGGCUAAUUUUCCAAAUCAUCCGACGUCAAUAAUUCUCGAUGGAUACUUUCCAAAUUAUUUUUUAUCUUAAUUUUCUUGAAGCAAUUCGACUUGAGUGCUUAACUUUUCCGAGCACUUAAAAAUGAUGAAUGCAGCUUAGAGCAAGAAUUUUCGAACUCAGCUUCUCACUUGGUGUCACCGAUGAGAAGUCGCGGUCGAACAAGACUUCAGUCUGAUUAAGAUUGAAAAUAUUCGGGGAAUCUUUUAAAUUUUAAUCAAAUUGCAUCUUAAGUUGAUCCCGAUUUCUUAACGGUGGCCUCAAGUGAGGUGCAUAGUUCAAAGAUUCUUUCUCGCAAAG